GCGGACGGACGUAGCGGGGCCCUCUCUGCGCACGCGCAUUGCGCAGUUGGAAACCAUGUUUCGUUCCUGCUUCUAGCAGUCCCUGGAUUAGAUACCCGCUCUCUGCACCUCGUAAAAUUGCUGCAGUAUGACCCUAUCUUCAAAGAAAUAAAGGAGAAAAAUACAUUGUGUUACAAGACGAAGAAACCAAACUCGUCAUGAAGUUGGUAGAAGAUACAAGACCGGGACUGAGCUUGUUGGUACAGCAUGAGCUACUGAGGAACUAGUACUUUUGUGUCUCUGUCUACCAUUAAUGGAUGUUGAGUUUAGAGCCAGAGGACCUGCCACAGGCCGGCUGUGGCAAAGCAAGGUGACCCUCCAGCAAAGGCUACAAGUAGACAACGAGGCCAAGCAGCUUAAGGAAAAACAGCAGAAACUCAGGGUUCUGUAGCUCUUCAGAAUUGAAGAGAAGCAGAGUCAGUGAGUAGGAAAUGUUCCUGUUCCUCAGUCUGCAAGUCCUGAGCCACCCGAGUGGCUUAGUCGGAAACAAGAAGAGACCAGUGUUGGCCGCAGUGUCCUCAUUUCUUCACCCUAUUCUUUUUUCUGGUUUGGUUGCAGAAAUGCCUGAGAAGAGCAAGUCACAAUAAAAACUGUUCUCCUUACCAAA